UGAGAGAAUCCGAACAGGAAGGGCACACAAUGGAGUGGGGAAGGCACCGAGGGGAGCAGGCAGGGUCCGAGGAGGAGGGAGUUAGCGGAGGGAGUGCUGGUGGGGUGGUGGCCAUCAAAAUCAGACGUUCCCAAGCGACACACCCGGACCAGACCGUAGAGAAGAUGCUGGACUUGGUGCGUGGGAAUCAUCAGCGACCCCGGCUAGGGCAGCUUCGGGCAGCGUAGGGAGGAAGCCAGAUUGCAACGGAUUAAGGAGUGAGGGGGUGGCGAGAUUUGCUGUCCUGAUUCAGCCGCCGCGGCGGCAGCCCGGGCUGGCUCUCCUCCCACAGGUGCGGGCUCCACAUGCGACGGGAACACGUGUGCCCACUCGUGCCACAGGCAUGCAGCCACAGGUGUAUUGAGCACCUGCUGUGUGCCUGAUGCUAUGCAAUGGGAAUCGAUAGUCAUGAGCGAGAUGGAGUCUGUGAUCUCAUGGAGCUUAAAUCCAGACCCUGAUUCCACAUGGCCCGGAGCGCCCUGACCUGCUUUCUCAAGCACCAUUUUCCACAUUCCUUCCUGGGUUGGAGAUGGAUGGGACUGAGACAGACAAAGUGGACCCCUUAGCAUUGAGGCACGAGAUGGUGAAGCUAAGCCGACAGAAGAAAAGCCGACCCCACAGAAGAUGUUUCACCAUUAAAUGAUUUCAUACGACUAUCUGGAUUUCUGGCUUCUCUUGAAAACUGAACAUCUGGUUUCACCUUCCCUCCUGGCUGGGACUGUGGCUGCCGUCCCAUUUUAGAUGGGUCACCCUUUCUCCGGUGUUCAACAUUCCCCAUCACUGCGUAUAGCUGUACUGUUCAAUAAGGUAACCACUAGCCAUAUGGGGCUAUUGAGUCUUGAAAUGUGGCUAGUCCAAAUUGAGGUGGCUAUUAGGGAUAAGGGAAUCUGGGAGGUAUUUUUCUCCUUCUGUUAGAAAAUUCUUAUGAGGUUCACAUUGGAUUUCUGUUGGACCCUAGUGGCCCAUAGUCUGCACAUCAAGCCAGCUUCUUGCAUUUCUGCUCCCUGCCUGACCCUGUAGGCACAGGAGUUUGGAACCUCUGAUGAAUGGGAAGGAAGUGUGACCUGGAGUCAGGACGCCAAAGUUCAACUGCUGGCUCUGACACUUACUGUGUGACUUUGGGAGAGUUACCUCCCUCUCUAUGCUUGGUCUCUUCAAUUGUACAAUGAAGACUUUGGACUGAAUUUCUAACUUUCUGCAAUGGAAAUACAAUGGAAUACAAAUUUUGGACUUAAUUUCCAACUUUCUACAAUGGAAAGAAACUUCGCCUCCCACACACCUCUGAAUUUACCCUCUUGUGGUGGGGCUCUGCUGCUGUCAGCUUUGAUCUGAGCUUCCCCAGCUGGGCACCCCCUCCUCUUGCCCUGAUUCUUUACACUCCAGCUGCUUCUAUAUCUUUGGGGAGCCCUGUCUCCAUCAGGGGCCUCCCUCCUCAUUCCACAGGGGGCUGCAUGCUGGAUCGUUCUGCUUGGCUUGCUGCUUACAAAACGAGAGGUUGACCAUGUUUCCCUUUGCUUUUUCAUUAAUAUCUGCAAUUUGCCCUCAUUUAAUUCACAUAUUUUAGCUAUUAGUUUCCUCACCUUCCGCAAUUAUUUUCAUGCACCCUUGGGCUUGUAAACCAUUGUUCCAAGUGGCGUGUUGCCUAUUUUAAGAACUUAAUUUGUUUAUAAUGUGCACAUCAGCUGCAUGAUUUGUUUCUUGCUGGUAAUUAACUUUUAAGCUGAUGCCAUUCCCCCGCCAAAAGUGAAACUCAAGGUAAAGUUGGUAAGAUUAAUCAUGCUGGCUGCAUCCAAAUCUUCCGACAUCUUCAUCAGACUCAGCAAGUUUGGGGAAAAUGAUAUUUUUUUCUUCUACUUCCAUCUGUUACCCUGCCGAUCUUGGAGCCAAUCCAUCCAUUAGUGGGCUUGAGUGUUGGAGUUGGAAUCUGAGACUUUUCAGUUUCUGUACCAAGACGAGCAAACUUUUCCUCCAAACCCUCACCCUGCAACUUGAACCCAUCUCUUCCUUCCUGGGAGGGUCCCUGGAUACUGAUGAAUCAUGAAAUUGUUGUAUAAUACCUCCCAGAUUCCCUUAGCGCUAUUGUGGAGUUAGUUACUGGUUUCCACAGUCUUUUGCAAUCAGACAAAUCAGCAAUGUUUUGGAUUGAUAAUCUCCAUUGGUGAGGUGGGGAUGUUUGGGUUGUAAAUAGCUAACUUUAUUAAUCUUUCUAUUUAAUGAUUCUGUCUGUAGGUCAUGGGUGAAAUUGAAAUUCCAGACCGCCCUCCUUCGUGGUAAACCUUUAGAAAUUAGAUUGUACUAGGUCAGUGCUUCUGAAACCUGAAUGUGAACCCCUGGGUGAGAUUAUGAUUCAGUUGGUCUAAGGUGGGACCCACAAAUCUGCAUUUUGACACGUGCCAAGAAGAGGCCAGUGCUGCUAGUCCGGGACCAUACUCUGAAAGGUAGGCAUUAGCCAGCCAGCUUCGUGAAGACUGGAAUGAUAUCAGUCUUGUUUCUUUUUUUUUUUUUCUUUUUGAGACAGAGUCUCAUUCUGUCACCCAGGCUGGAGUGCAGUGGUGAGAUCUCGGCUCAGUUCACUGCAACCUCCGCCUCCUGGGUCCAAGUGAUUAUCCUGCCUCAGCCUCCUGAGUAGCUGGGAUUACAGGCAUGCACCACCAUGCGUGGCUAAUUUUUUUUUUUUAUUUUUUUUAAAAUUUUUAGUAGAAAUGGGAUUUCUGCAUGUUGGUCGGGCUGGUCUUGAACUCCUGACCCCGUGAUCCUCCCACCUCGCUCUCCCAAAGUGCUGGGACCACAGGCAUGAGCCACCGCACUAGGCCUUAGUCUUGUUUCUUAUUGGCAUGUGGACACCGGCAACUGUUUGGAGACUGAAGGAGUGAAUGACUGAAUGAGCUGCACUCAGGAAUGUAGAUAACGCUCUCCCAGAUCGAUCUUAUUAGAGUGAGAUGCCUUCCUUCUUAUUCUCACACUAGCAAAAAAAAAAAAAAAAAAAAAAAGUAGUAAUUUUAUAUUUUUCCAAAUUUAGGAAGGGCUAAAUGUCAUACGCUGAUUUAUCUCCUCCAUAGAUAUGAUAUUUAUGUGUGUGUGCACACACAUAUGUUUGGCUUUUGGAAGUGAAUUUAUAGUAACUGAAUGCUCUUCACCAUGGAUCUCUUUCUAACUAUAGCCUGCCGCUUUCAUCCGAAAGGGCCCGCUUCCAGAGAGCCCUGCAAAUGGAGAAAUCCUUGUUCCUGUUUUUAAAAUUCUUCAGAGAGCUGCCUGGUUUUCCCUCUAAGGCCCUGUUUUUUUCCAGUGUUGUUUCCAGAUUUCUGAUCACAUCAAUGGAGGAGCUUCAAAUAAGUGCUGACUUCCUGUAACACUUCUCUUGAACACCUUGAAGCUUCUAUCAUUCUUCAGCUACCAUGAAUGGGUUGUCAAUUUUUCAUGAGGCCAAGAUGGUAAAUGCACACACAAACACACACAUGUGCGUGCACACACCCACACGCACACACACACACACACACAGAGUAUUUUUGAGACUAGAAGGUCAGUACAUAUGACCAGGGUACUCAUUUAAAGAGACAGAGGGGCAGAAUAUUUUAAAUUGGAUCCUUUCCCUAAUAUAGCUGUUUUCACAUUUACACGGAAUUUCGUGUUCUGUUACUGCAGGAGGUCCUCCAGACUGUUUCAGCUUCAGGGUCCUCCCAAACCUCUUCCCCCAAGACAGGCUGUGAAUUUUCCUGGGUGUCCCCACCAAGUCCCCUGGACUAUUGUGGAUUUCUGGAGUUUCCUGCCCAGCCCCACCUGUGGGUUGUGGGAGGAAGCUGAAAGGAGAAAAUGAGAGCUCCGAGGGUGUCAUUUGCCCAAGGCUUUGUGGAUAAGAAGUGGUGGAGGCCCGGCGCGGUGGCUCACGCCUGUAAUCCCAGCACUUCGGAAGGCCGAGGCGGGCGGAUCUUGAGGUCAGGAGAUCGAGACCAUCCUGGCUCAUACGGUGAAACCCCGUUUCUACUAAAAAUACAAAGAAUUAGCCAGUUGCGGUGGUGGGCGUCUGUAGUCCCAGCUACUCCGGAGGCUGAGGCAGGAGGAUGGCAUGAACCCGGGAGGCGGAGCUUGCAGUGAGAUGAGAUCGCGCCACCGCACUCCAGCCUGGGUGAAAGAGCAAGACUCUGUCUCAAAAAAAAAAAAAAAAAAAAAAGAAGUGGUGGAGACACCCCGCGAACUCUGACCCAGGGCUGACAGUCUUAACUAUUAUGCUCCACUGUUGUGCACCUCAAACUGAAAGUGCCCAGGAGUCUCCUGGGACCUUGUACAAAUGCAGAUUCUGAUUCGUUAGGUCUGAGGUGGAGCCUGAGAUUCUGCAGUUCCAACAAGCUCCCAGGCGAUGCCGAUGCUGUCCACCUGUCACCCACACUCUGAGAACUACUCAUCUAGAGGGUCACGCCCCUGACUGCAUUGGAAUCACCGAGGAUCUUUUAAAAACUGCCACCUUGGCUGCACCUCCAGAAAUCUGAUUGAAUUGCAGCAGCCUGGGCAUCAUGAAGUUUGUUUUAAAAAAAUUCUUUUCUUUUUCUUUUUUCUUUCUUUCUUUUUCUUUUUCUUUUCUUUUUCUUUUUUUUUUUUUUUUGAGACAGAGUCUCGCUCUGUUGCUCAGGCUGGAGUGCAGUGGCAUGAUCUUGGUUCACCGCAACUUCUACUUCCCGGGUUCAAGCAAUUCUCCUGCCUCAGCCUCCCGAGUAGCUGGGAUUACAGGUGCACGCCACCACGCCCAGCUAAUUUUUGUAUGUUUAAUAGAGACGGGGUUUUGCCAUGUUGGUCAGGUUGGUCUUGAACUCCUGACCUCAGGUGAUCUACCCGCCUUGGCAUCCCAAAGUAUGGGAUUACAGACGUGAGCCACCAUGUCCAGGCAAAAAAAUUUUCAUUUUAAAAAUAGAGAUGGGGUCUUGCUAUGUUGCCCAGGCUGGUCUUGAACUCCUGGGCUUAAGUGAUCCUCCCAUCUUGACCUCCCAAAGGGCUCGAAUCACAGGCAUGAGUCACUGCGCUUGGCCUGAUCAUGAGUUUGAAAAAUUCCCUGGGUGGGUCCAGGUGCUAGCAGGGCUGAGAACCACUGUUCUAGGGCUCUUGUUGAGACCUCAUCUGUUUCAGGACCCCCUGAGAUUCCUGCCCAUCUGUUCUCCUGCAGAAUAGUCCAUCAUCCACCUCUGGCAUAGGGGAGACCAGACUGGGAUGGACUUGGGGUCUCCCUUGACCCUCUGUCCUGUCCUGAGCUAGUUGGUUGGACCAGAGAUGCUCUGGGUACCACGCCAGUUGGAGUAGGCAGGUGCAAGGCUACAUCUGGCAGGGUACAGCACAAGGAGAGGAACAAGGUCUCCUCUGGGGGUCCAGGAGACACUUCCAAGCUGCUCUUUGCUGAAAUGUUCAGCUGCUAAGCUGAAAAUAACUUCGGCAUUGCUGAGGAGGCUACCUGGGAUUCCCCUCCUGCCAGGAGGAGGGGAAGUAGGGGCCCUGGAAUCCCAGGGAAGCUGAUACCACCAGUCUGGGCUGUGUCACCAAGUCCUGGAGUGCUGAGUGUCUGCCACCAGCUGUGCAAGAAAAGGGGUAGAGGACAGACCUAGUGACUCUGAGCCCCUUCACGAUCCACAGUGAUGAAGCUUGUCUAGCCCAGCUGUGCUUCAGUGAUCUAGGGCUUUACUGGAGAUGCUUCAGAGGGUGCAUUACUUUCCUCCGGCUGUUGUAACAAAGGACCACAAACUGAGUGGGUAAAAACAACACAGAUUUAUUAUCUUCCAGUUCUGGGGAUCAGGAAUCCGGCACAGGUCUUAGUGGGCUGAAACCAAGGAAUUCUUUUCUGGAGACUUUGAAGGAGAAUCCAUUUUCUUGUCCUCUUCAGCUUUUACAGGCUGCCUGUAUCCUUGGCUCGGGGCCCCUUCCUCCAUCUGCAAUUCUAGCAACAGUGGUGUGAGGUUUUCUCACAUUACAUCACUCUUCUGCCUCCCGCUUCCACUUUUUUUUUCUGUUAACUUCUCAUUCCAUAAAUAUUUGUUAGACAUCUACGUGGCGUCAGGCACUGUUGUAGGCACUUUGGAUCCAGCAUGAGUGAAACAGACAAAAUCCCAAUUUUUAUGGAGUAUUUUCCAGGGAAGAGGACAAUAGAAACAAUCCAUACGUCGAUAUGUUGCCGGGCACCAUGGCAUGUGCCUGUGGUCCCAGCUACUGGGGAUACUGAGGCCGGAGGACUGCUAGAGCCCAGGAGUUCUGAGCUGCAAUGCACUGUGUCUAUCGGGUGUCCGCACUAAGUUCAGCAUCAGUGUGGCGACCUCCUGGGAGCAGGGGACCACCAGGUUGCCUAAGGAGAGGUGAACUGGUCCAGGUUGGAAACGGAGCAGGUCAAAACUCCCAUGCUGAUCAGCAGUGGGAUCACGCCUGUGAAUAGCCACUGCACUCCAGCCUGGGCAACACAGUGAGACACUGCCUCUAAAAAACUAAAAAACAAAACAUAAGUGUACAUAUUAUAAAAUAUAUUAGAAGAUGAGUUCUAUGGAGGAGAAAAUGUAGGGAAAGUGGAUAGGGAAUACUAAGCGACUCUCUUCCACUUUUAAAAAGUGGAAUCUAACCUCUUCUGAUUAGAUUAAGCCCACCCAGAUAAUCUCCUUAUUUUAAGGUUAGCUGAUUAACAACCUUUAUUUCCUCUGAAGACAUAAUUCCCCUUUGCCAGGUAAUGGAACAUGUUCACAAGUUUUUGGGAUUAGGACACGAUGUCUCUGAUGGGGUUGUAAUUCUGCCCAAUUCAGGGAUUUUGGGGUGAAUCUGAGUCUGAGACUCCGGUUGUCCCAUCCUUUCUGAACCCUGACUUUAAUCAGAGCAGUUUUGUUAAGUAUCUGUUUCCAUGCAACAUUUCCUUUGUAGAACGUAUCGCAAAGCUAACAAAAGCUUUUCAACCAAUGGUCUAAUCCCUUUUCCUGGACCAGCAGCAAGAGAACCUGGCAGCUUGCUAGAAAUGUCCAAUCUCUGCCUGAGCCAGGGUCUACCUCUUAGCACAGACCAGGAUAAUCUGUGCCUACAGUAAAGUUUGAGAAGGACCUGGGAGGAGAGGGGGGUAGUUUCUUGCCACCAUGGCUGUUCAUUGAAACCACAGAGAGCUUUGAAAAUAUAUUGAAGCCUGGGUCCUACCGAAGAUUCAUUGGCCUGCGGGUGCCACCUGGGUGCUGGAGUUUUUUAGAUCUCCUGGAUGAUUUUAAUGUGCAGUAGAGUUUGAGAACAGCUCGUCUGGUCUAUCCUCCCAGAAAAGGAAACUUCGCAGGGAGUGAAAAUGACUUGGCCAGGGUCACACAGAGGGUUGCUGGCCAUCCUGGGAGAGGAUUCAGGUCUCUUGACUUUCUGGAUUGAGGACUUCUGCUCCUACCAAGAAAACAAAAACAAUAGCAACAACAACAAUUUGGGUGGAGAGACGGGAGAGAGGAAGAGGCUUUUCCCCUGUCUUUAUUCUUCCUUAAAGUUUGAAUUGUUUUUAAUGUCAAGCAUGUUGUAAUUUUAAUACAUAAAAAAUAUUAAGGA